CCACUCAGCUGUGCUCCGGACUCAGAAGCACCCCCUAUGUGAAAACAUUCCGGAUGUCGGUACAGCUCUGCCUCAUCUUACUCUCGUUUUUAAUGACAAGCUGCUUCCUCCUACAACAGUCUGACUAAAUCAAAAGAUGGUUAGUGUCUCCAGAAGUGCUCAGAUACCGCGGUUCCACCGAUGUUACUAAAAGAACUAGGCGCGCCGAAGAUGACCGAUUAUUUCCAGAGAUGUAGCCGCGGCCGCUGCACACCUCCGUUACUUGGAAACCGUCAGAAAUUUUCUGCGGAAAGUUUUUCUCCUCGGAUGGAACAAGUUUAGAGACAAAGCGGUUGCCACGGGGCUGCUUUCUCCGGUGUUUUGUGAUGAUGGAGGAAGCCAGGCUCUGAGGGACACAAUGUCUUUGGGGGAGUUCAUCGAGCUCCGGGACCUGAGGCCAGACCAAGAGCGGAUAGAGCUGACACCAGGCACACUUUCGCCCUGCUCACCCCCACGCCUUGAGAGAGCCAACGCCCUGAGGAUCAGCCCGGGGAAGGUCCCAGACCUGCUGAGCCGGGUGGGCAUCAUCAGGGUCCUGAGCAGCACUCAGGACCCCCAGCUCACUGAGGAGAGGGGAGAGGGACACAACUUCCAGCCCUGCAGCCACGCUCAGCCCACAUGGUGUGACCUGUGUGGAGACUUCAUCUGGGGCCUGUAUAAGCAGAGCCUGCGGUGUGUCAAUUGUAGAUUCACGUGCCACUACCGCUGUCGUGCUCUGAUCCAGUUGGACUGCAGCUGGGACAGAGGCUCAUUGGCUGACCACACAUAUGUUGUGGAGCACACCAUAGAAACAGACACAAAUGUGGAUGAACAGAUUGAAUGGGGAAAGCAGGAGUUGAACACUGCAGAUUACCAGCAGAAGGUGAAGGAAUACAACGCUCAAAUCAACAGCAAUCUGUUCAUGAACAUGAACAAGGAUGGUUCCUACACUGGCUUCAUAAAGGUACAGUUCAAGUUGGUGCGACCUGUUUCAGUUCCACCUCCUAAGAAAGGAGGUCACGAUGCUAGAGGGAAGAAGGCUAGCGGAGUGAAGCGUCGCACCUCUUUCUACCUGCCAAAGGAUGCAUCCAAGCACCUGCACAUAAGCUCACGCACUUCUGCUCGUGAGGUCAUUGAAGCUUUGUUGAAAAAGUUUACUGUGGUGGACAAUCCUGGCAAGUUUGCUCUGUUUGAGCGCAGCGAGCGUCAUGACCAAGUUUAUGUUCGCAAGGUAUCUGAUGAUGAGCAUCCCCUCCGUCUGCGUCUGUGUGCUGGGCCCAAUGAGAAAGUUCUCAGCUUUGUUCUGAAAGAGAAUGAAACUGGAGAAGUCAAUUGGCAUGCCUUCUCCAUGCCUGAGUUAAAGAACUUCUUGCGCAUUCUGCAGCGUGAAGAGGAGGAGCAUGUCAAGCAGAUAGUGCAGCGGUACGCUCUAGCCCGCACUAAGAUGCGAGAGGCUCUUGCUGGCUCGACCCCAGGCUGAUGCAACUCUGCGCUCGGGGUUUAACAUGCACAUCUUGGCUGGACAAUCGUCUGAAGAUGACCAGUCAUCGCUGCAUCCAAAGAUCCCAGAUAAUACAACUCAAAACGCCUCUUGGAUGAACGAGAGAGUGAGACAGGGCGCAAGACAAUGAGAGAGAGCUGGCGCGAAUGUGCGUGUGAAAUGAUGCGAGAGAUGAGAAGUGCCUUACACCUGGAGAGUCUGAUGUGCCUGAGAGAAUGAGUUGAGAGAAGUGAAUACUGGCAGAUGAGACAGUGGUCAUAUCCAGUAAUGUCUUUUGCUAUUGGGUACCAUCUGAUUAUCCUGUAUGCCUCAGCUGUAUCACUGUAGCUGU